UACGAAGGGGGCUAGCGUUGCUCGGAAUCACUGGGCGUAAAGGGUGCGUAGGCGGGUCUUUUAAGUCAGGGGUGAAAUCCUGGAGCUCAACUCCAGAACUGCCUUUGAUACUGAGGAUCUUGAGUACGGGAGAGGUGAGUGGAACUGCGAGUGUAGAGGUGAAAUUCGUAGAUAUUCGCAAGAACACCAGUGGCGAAGGCGGACUACUGGCCCGUUACUGACGCUGAGGCACGAAAGCGUGGGGAGCAACAGGG
rnacentral:rRNA from 1 species